GAGGUGUAAUCUGUAUACCACAAUGAUUUUGAGUCAAGAUGAGUACUGAUAAUUGACUGUUGGCUUUUUCAUUAAGAAACUUUCCUUAAGAAUUUUGCCAAAUAAUUUUAAGUUCCAUUUAUAUACAGGAAAAAGAUACAUCCAAGGAAAAUGUUUUGCAAUGGUAGAGGUGUGGUUUGGAGUGAUGCACUGAUAAGCCAAAGAGCAUCAAGAAUUGCCAGCUAACCACCAGAAGCAUGGAAUCAGAGAGGCUGGGAACAUAUUGCCUCUCAGAGACUCUAGAAGGAAAUAAGCCUGCUGAGACCUUGAUUUUAGGAUUCUGGUCUCCAUAACUGUGAUAUGAUAUAUUUUCUUGUUUUAAGUCAGUAGGUAAUUCGUUAUGGCAACCAUAGGAAGCCAAUAGAAAUCAUCAUACAAAAUAAAUCCAACAUCAUAGAUAUUUUUUGAAAUACAAGCAUAAAUUUGCCAAUGUUUGCCUGGCCAUUCAUCAGUAACAGAGAAAAGCCCAUUACCUUUUUGAUUGCAACAAUUUAGAAAAUACUUUCAUCAGAAACAACAGGAUUCAUUGUGUAAGUCCAGGGGUAUUAUGAAAAUGCUUUAAGGGAGAGAAUGAUCCUGCGGAGGAAGCAGGAUACACAGCAGACUCAUAGAAUGACAAAUGGCCUAAAUAGCACUCUUGCCUCAGAAUCAACCCUUGGGACAUUCGGAUCUGGCUAAAAAGCCCAUGAGAGUCUCGCAGGCAUGGAAAGCCAAGGCACUGUGGCAAAAACGACCUGAAUGAAAGAUCUCAAUGAAUGAGAUCCCAGUGGAAAGAACAGCCAUCAAAGCAGGAGGCACCUUUCUCUGAAGGGCGGAAGGAACCUCCACUGUGAUAUGGCCUUGACUAAAUAAGUUCAGAGUUGGUGAACUCAAGAGGCUUCCAUAGCCUUGACAGCUCAUGGCAAGAGCCUUGGGUGAUUACUGAUGUCAUAAAGAAGAGUGUCAAUUGUUAAAUCAACAACGGGAGUCACUGUGCACCUGCUCCCCACGUAGGAUCUCUGUCCUUAAUGUGUUAUACUAUGAAAAUUAACGAUUGACAAGAAUUUGAAGGAAGUGUCUAUCACCAUAAAUAAGCAUGGAAUUAGUACAGUGUUUAUAAAUAUUAAAGUCUGUAUAAUCUGUGUUAUGGAAGAACUGAAGAGAAAUAAGCAACUUGUCUUCAGAACAAAGAAGAAUGUUCUAUUGUGCAGUCUGAUCUAAAGUGAUAUGGCCAUCUUAAGCAAUUCUUCCAGACUAACAAAAUUUCCUUAUCAAAGGCUUUGGUCCUACUUACCUUUAUAUAUUGGAUGAAUCUAGCAAAGAGAGAACUUGAACCAAGGAUUUGCUUUGUAACUGACUCUCAGAAGCUGAUUUGGUUAAUUCCCUGAAGUCAGUCAAAAUCAGUUCAAUGAAAACAGUGAAGUUAAAGGCAUAACUGGAAGACCAAACAAAUCCUUUUUGUUAAGACUGGAUGACAUUUAUUGAAACAAAUGGAUUGAUGGAUCUCAUAGAAGUACUCACUAAAGGCACUGUGGAACUGGACUGGAAGCCAGGCCUUCUUAUCUCAGAAAUGGAUAAAUGACCUUCUUUAAGGGGCUGUUGGAAGAUGUUCAUGAACUAGUUUCUGUGGUUCCAGUUGAAUUUCACAGUGCUACAGGAGUUUAGUAUUGCAUGCACAGAGAAGCCUGGAAAUGAGAAAUUUAAUGCACAGAGGCAAAUUUCAACAAUAUGAGAAAGGAACUAGCAGUUCUGCACUCACCCUUCUUGUGAUGAGAGAUGAUAAAAUCCCUACAUGAGUCUAUGAAGUGAGGUGCAGGAAAAUACAAGCCAUGCUGUCCAGGAUUGUAUCCUGAGCCUACAAUUUGUGUUUCUAAAGGCUGUGAGAAGAGAAUCAGAAGUUGCAGUUUAUUAAAAUCCCUCACAGUUGUAAGUGUACUUGCAGGUGAAGAAGAGAACCUUAUCUGGUCUGUAAUAAAGCCUGAAAGUCAUGUAUAUAAGGGUUAAGGUUGGAUUUGACCUGGUUGUUGAUCCGGUCCCAAAUCUGGAGGAAAAUAGCUUAUGACAAGGAACCAGUGUCAAAAAACUCCUUGAAGCCACAUUUUAGCAACAAAAAGGCUUUAGAAGGAAUGGUCCUUAUGCUAACUUCACCUGGAGUUUAUUGUCAAACUUAGGUUUAUCUGUUCUGCAGGCAUGGAUCAUCAUCUUAAAGUGUGAGGCCAGCGUUAUCUUAAUAAGAGUUGGACUUCUGUAAAAUUCUGAUAGGCAAUAGGCACAAAGCCAAAUAGAAAAAUUAUAAAUCCAACAAAAACAUAAAUCAAGUUUUCAUCUUAAAGGAACAGGAUUAUAGCAUAAUAGAAAUAUUGUUGACUAUUCAUGGAAGUACAACAUGGAAGAUUGACUAACCAUAUAGAAAUCGGCUCCAGAAAACUAUCAAGGUUAACAAGCCUAAAAACUAUGAACAGAUUUACAGUCUAAAAACAGUUUUACUAUACUUGGUUGAUUGUCUAUUUGCUUUAAGUACACAUGAUAAUCUUCAGUUUAUAAACUCUCAAAGUUAAAAAAUCAAUCCAAGGUAGAAUUAGACCUUUUUUUUUAACCAUAGUACCUAAUAUUUUGAAAUUUUAGGUCCUAAUAAAAAAUUAUAUCUCCUUUCACUUCCUACAAGGCUAGGAACUUGUGAAGGCAGGUAUUCUGUUAAUUUUAUAUAUGCUAAUGUUUUCAAUUCUAACCUGUUAUGGCAAGAACAGGUUCUAGCUGAUCUCACAUUGCCAUAAGGAAAGCAAAAAUCUCCAGAAAAGUUUUUGAAAUUUAGAGUAGUUAGGGGAAAACGUGAACACUAUCAUCCAUCUACAAAACUAUCCCAAAGCACUGAAAAUGAUAGAAAUCGCAGGAAACAUUGUCCAGAACCUAGAAAGCAUUCAAAUACAGAACCAGCAAUGUUUUAAAUAAAAAAUAGAAAUACAAAAAUUUCAUUCAAUCUCAUGUAACUUUUGUCCAUUAGCAGCCUUAUGAAUUUCAUAGUUCUUUUUUUUUCUCAAAGUUCUGGAACUUCUCAUCUACUCCAUUGACCUUAAAGCAGUCAGAAGCCCCUAUUUAAUUACAUUUGUUGAAAGUCUUCUCUAAAUCUGAUUGCAAGUGUUUUCAGAGAAGAGUGUACAAAACUGUGGAAGACACAAUAUUUUAAAUAGACUGGUUAAAAUUAUAGAACUCAUUAAUUGAUAAGAGUCAUCCAUAUUCAUUUCAUAGAAAGCACCUGAAAGACUUUACAAGCAUUUGUCAUUUUUAAACCCUGGACCUCCUUUUUAUCGAGAUAACCAUCAUGACUGAUAACACAACAGGAUCAUCAAACUUUUCUAACUUUUUUAUAAUUUCUAGGACAUUUGAUUCUAUUUUCUUUAACAAAGUUUAAUAUCAGUUCACAUCUUGACAACACGUUCGAUAUACUCCAAAUUUCCAAAUUAUUACCUCUACAAGAUGAGAGAUACAGCAUUUGACAUUUGCAGGCGGCAAAAUGUGUGUUUCCUUGAUCAUUCACCAAAAAGGAAAAUAAAAACCUGAAUAAAAGAAUUAGCACAUAAAAUCAUCUCAUAACUUGAAAUAAUUUAAUAGAAUCAGAACUAGGGAAGGGGAGAGAGCUUACAGGAGCGCUCUAGAAAACUGAGUCAUCAACUAAAACUUUUAAAAGAGAUGCAACAUUUUUUUUAAGUAGAUUUUAAAAUUAGAGAUCAACAUUAUCCAGAUAUUUAUUGAUAUAUCAAGAUAUAUACAUUUUCAAAAGCAUUGUUUUAACAGAGGACCAGAUUCUAACUCUAUGUCAGUGUACCUUUGGUAUUAAUGCUAAUUUUUUUUAGAAAAACCUGUAAACAAUUUAAGAAUUAUGGUCCAUUUUAUCACACACAGAUAUCUUUACAAGAUUUAUUCCUCUCAAACCUUCUGUGACUUCAUCACACCUUCUGCACUUGACUUCAAUCUUUAGGUAUUUUGUCCUACCAUUCCUUUCCUAGAGUAAUCCAAUCAUUCUCCUUAUGACACGGUUUUUCUUUUUUUAUAAGCAAUGUUCGUUCUUAUCCACAAAGUUCUUUCUUUCAUAACCUUCUUUACCAAGAACAUAUUUUCAUGCUUGUGACUUUUUAAGUUUUUCCCAUCUGAUCUCCUUGACUUUUCACUGUGAAAUAAUCCUUUAAAAAUCUCCAUAUUAAGACAACAUUUUGUAAGUGAAGGAACAUAUCAAAUUUCAGCCUUAGUUACUUUUAAGCAGUCUUGAAUUAUUUGUCAUAUAUGGACAAUUUGUGAAAACGUAUCUGCUAACAAACCCAAAUAGUCUUUUAGCAUCUUAAAUUCAAUGAAAAGAAUUACUUAACACUUAGAAAUAUUUAUCUACUUGUACCCAAUUUAUACUUAGCAACUAUACCUAGAUGACUUAAACAGACAUUAGACAAGCAUAGCUACCACUUUAAAUGAUUUUCUUGUCACACAAAACUCUUAAAGGCUAAUGCAUUCAGAAUACUAUCAUUUCCUGACCAACAAACACAGGCACAAGUGUAUCCGAAUGAUUUUGAAAAUCUUUAUACUUUUUUCUUUAACAUUUAUUUGAGAGGUAGAGUUAGAGGGAGAGACAGAAAUAUCUUCCAUUGGCUGGUUUACUCCUCAAAUGGCCACAAUGGCCAGAGUUUUACCAAUCUGAAGCCAGGAGCCUCUUUCAGAUCUCUCACAUGGAUGCAAGUGCCCAAGCAUUUGGGGCAUCUUCCACUGCAUAUAUGUUCACAUUCUUUCAAAAUGAUGACUUUCUCUGUUUCUGUGUAUAGAACAUCCUUAUGUAUCAUUUCUAAGGCUGGACAAGUAAUCACAAAUUCUUUCCAUUUGUUUUAAUUUAUAAAUUAUAGAUUUUCUGGAUACGUAUUCUGGGUUGACAGUUUAUUGUGUACCCAUGAAAUUUAAUUUAUUAAAAGCUUUCUUUAAAAAAAGGACUUGGACAUUAUUAGUCCAUUAUCUGCCAGCCUAUCAUGUUUCUUUUGAAAAAACAGCUGUCAGUCUGAUCUGAGACCCUUUGAAGGUAAUCUGGUAUUUCUUUCAUGCACAUGUUAGAAUCUUUUUGUUUCACUGUUGAAAGUUUGACUAU